UUUAUGGAGAGUUUGAUCCUGGCUCAGGAUGAACGCUGGCGGCGUGCCUAAUACAUGCAAGUCGAGCGAACAGAUAAGGAGCUUGCUCCUUUGACGUUAGCGGCGGACGGGUGAGUAACACGUGGGUAACCUACCUAUAAGA
rnacentral:rRNA from 1 species